rnacentral:lncRNA from 1 species
CAUUGGUAAAAUUGAUGUCUGGAAAUUUUGUGUUGUAAAACAACACAUUGGCUCUGCAGCUUUUGGCAAGGCCCAUGGACAGAGAGAUCACACCAGCUCGGGACAAUCUGUAAGGAAAUCAGGUUUUCUUAAGUCACCUGAGAAGUCCUCAAGGAGAGAGGAAUGAAUGAGUAGUACCAUAAUAGAAGACUUUAGGAUCUUGUACUGUGCUACUCUAGAUGCCUUGAAAAUAGAAGCAGAAAAUGUAAAGCUAAAUGACUUCCAGGAAUUAGCUCAAUUCUGAUUAUGAUUAUUUCAUAUUGGCACUUUAUACUUGAUUAUUUUUUUAAAUUUAAAACAAGAGCCUUUGGUUUUAACCUGAAGUGGUCUUAGCAUCACAAAAUGCUUACAACUCUUGUAUGGGGUCCGGCAUCUAACACUAUGGGGCUCGAGAUUCUACUUUUAAAUGCAUCACCAUCGAGAGCUUCCAUUUAACCAGCAGGGUCCAUGCCAGGCAGACACUGAGCAGGUUGUAUGUUCUGUUAAUCUCCACAACAACCCAAUUCAGCAGAAACACCCCCAUUUUACAGGUGAAGAAACCUCAGC